rnacentral:rRNA from 1 species
AUUGAACGCUGGCGGAAUGCUUUACACAUGCAAGUCGAACGGCAGCACGGACUUCGGUCUGGUGGCGAGUGGCGAACGGGUGAGUAAUGUAUCGGAACGUGCCCGGUCGUGGGGGAUAACGUAGCGAAAAUUACGCUAAUACCGCAUACGAUCUAUGGAUGAAAGCGGGGGAUCGCAAGACCUCGCGCGAACGGAGGGGCCGAUAUCAGAUUAGGUAGUUGGUGGGGUAAAGGCCCACCAAGCCAACGAUCUGUAACUGGGCUGAGAGGACGACCAGCCAAACUGGAACCGACACACGGUCCAGACUCCUACGGGAGGCAGCAGUGGGGAAUUUUGGACAAUGGGCGAAAGCCUGAUCCAGCCAUUCCGCGUGCAGGAUGAAGGCCCUCGGGUUGUAAACUGCCUUUGUACAGAACGAAAAGGUUUCUACUAAUACUAGGAGCACAUGACGGUACUGUAAGAAUAAGCACCGGCUAACUACGUGCCAGCCGCCGCCGUAA